CAGAAUUAAAUGUGUGUGUAUCAAAAGUGGUCUCAAAAUAUUUUUUUAAGAAAAAAAAACAAUGUAUUGCUGAUAAUCAGUUUGGACCAGUUUCUAACGGUCAUUAAAACAGAAGCAAAUUAAGACAGGUUUGACUGCAGUGGUGUCUGGUAUCCAUGUUUUAUUUCUAGGCACAAGCUAGUUUAUAUGUUGAUGCUUUCUUGAACAUAUUAACUGUUGGACAUUCUUUUCUCUUGUGUUUUGUUUAAAUGUGCAAUAGUGUAUAGGCCACAAAUAAGCUUUCUUGUAAGCUCUCUAACAGAGCACACAUUCUUCCAUAAUAUGAACAUUUUUCUCCCGUAUCCAUAUUUUUGGUAGGUCAGUUCUGCGAUAGUGCAUUUUGCCCAGUAGAAAGCAGCUACUUGAUUUCUUGCUUUCUCUCUCCUUACAGAGUAUGCAGAAACAAUGUCUCAAAGGGCUCUGAAGAAGGAACCGACCAAAACCUAAUUUGAAAUGCCAUUUCUUUUAACCUUCCAAGGCCUAAACAUUUUCUUCCAGGCAUUUUAAUAAACAUAUUUGGUUCUAGUUUUGGAAGUUCAUAAGAGAGCACAGAACAAAGUUGAGGAAGUCAAAUAUUAGACUUUUUCCAUUUUAUUUUAUUUUUAUAUGUUCAUGUUCCAUAUUCAUUUAUUUAAGAAACACAUUUUUAUCAGAAAACGUAUAUAGCUAUACUUAUAUGGAAUUGUUAAGUAGGUAGAUAGAUGGUUAAGACAAUAUAGUGUUAUAGCCCUCAUCCUCUAAAUAGGCCAUCUUUGACUCAAAUAAAAUUACAUUUCCUAUUUAAAAUAAUUCCAAAGUAAUUCAUAGUUUUGAACCUGUAAUGUCUUUUUAUUCUCUUCAAAGCAAAGCCUGGUGACUUUUAUCUGAAAAUAAUUACUUUUCCCAUGACCUAAAACACUGUGUGGAAAAAAAUCAUUCAACUGGCAUGCCACAUUCCUCUUGAAGGAAGGUUAGCUGCCAAACCUAUCAUUUUUCAGCAGACAGACUUACCUCUCUUUUUUCAAAACUGUGUUUCUUCAUGAACCCUAUUUUCGUAAUUGCUCCUUUUGCCAUGUUUCACAUAAUCUUUGAUACGUGAGCAGCAUUUGUCAUUUACAUUAUAUUAGAAUAUACCUCUUAGUGAUAACAUUUUAUUCAUCCUUCAAAUCAUAUUGGGCUUUUUUUAGAGCUUCCUUUGCUUUUUCCAUUACUGAUAAUCAUCUAUAAAAUGACAACCUCUGCAUGUUUUCUUAAGUAAAGCACUUUAUGUCAAACAAGGGACUUUUUUUGUAAGCACAGAUGAUUUUCUAUCAAUUUGUAAACUAAUGAUCUCACUUAUUUUUUUCAGGUUCUCAGAGUACUUAAUAGACAUUAUCUAAUUAAACUCUAAGAUUUCGCUGGAAGAUAAAAGGAUAAAAAAAAUACAAAUCCCCAAAUUCCUGAUUUAGGUUUUUAUUUUCUAAACAAUAUUUUAUCACUCCUCUAUCUUCAUCGUUUAGUUAAAGGCAACCUAAAUUUCCCUCUUUGCUGUGCAGAAUACUUACGGCUUACUUGUAUCUAAGCCUUCUCUUGUUUGCCAUCUGCUAUGGUCUUAGGAGUUGAUAAUGCAACAUUUACCAUUUAUUCAGCUGGAUUGCUGAACACGGUUUUGAAUUCUUAGAAUUAAGAUUCUUUUAAUAGUGCCCAGGGUUUCCACAUUUUACGUUUUAUUGGCCCUUCUCUUGAUUCAGACCCUUAACAUAUUUUUUAGACUUCUGGCAUAAUUUUUUUUUUCUUUCAUUGAAUUAUUAUUUUUUUAAUCUAUAUAAUGAAUUAUUUAUGCCUUGCCCCAUAAAUUUUCACUUAGUUCUCUUGCCUUUAAGUAUCUUUCAGCUGCUUUCAGGAUAUUAUUUUCAAACAUUACAGGUCAUCUUUGAGUCAAAAUAAAUUGUAUUCCUUCUCUAAUUGGAAGCAUUGAGCACAAAUAGCUAUUUGAAGUCUAACUGAUCUUUUCUGACAGAAGAGUUAUCUUACAUUCUCCUAUACUUUGUUUGAGCCACUUGAUUGUAAGUUUUCCAGCAUUUUUUAUGUUAAGUAAUGCUUUCAAAAAUUAAUCUACCAAAUUAAAGAAUGGUUUUAUAGUUUCCCAUUUCAUGCAAGCCUGUUUAAAAUAAAUAAUUUUCUUUCCCCAGGGUUUUUUAGUAGACUCUUGAGAAAGUAGAAUUGGAAAGUGUAGGUAAUUUUGAUAAUUUUUAGAUUAAAUUAUAUGUCAGACUAAUUUACUUUUAGAAUCUGUUUGUAAUAUAUAAGCAAGCAAAAUUAUUUAAAAUAUGUAUUUGCUAAUUUGUUAUCUAAUAAUGUUUCUUAAAGCUAAUAUUUAACGGCUAUCACAAAAAUUUGCAUGCAGAUAAGCAUUUGAGUCCUUUUGAAUAAUAGGACAUUUAAUGAAAAAGUAUUAAAACUCAUUUUGCUAGAUUGUAUUACAAUCUUAAAAACAUAAUAGGUAAUCGAAAUCUAGUAUUAAUCCCUUUAUCCUAAUUAUAUACCAGAACUAAGUCAUUAAAACAACUUGAUUUGAAUUGGGUUUAGACAAAAAUGAUUUAAUUAUAAUUCCUAAAAAUAUUCUCCCUUUUAAAAUAUGUAAUUGGGAGCGAAGAAAAAACAGUAUCAGUAUAAAAAGUUGUGGGAAGGCACAGAAGUGAAAUAAUACUAACUGACCAUUUGUUACAUACUGAAUGCUGGGAUAUAUAUACACCAUCUCUUUUAAUCUUCAUAGCAACCAUAAGAAGAUAAUAUUCCCACUUCACAGGUGAGCAAACUAAAGCUAACAGAAGCUAAGUAAUUUGCCCACAGUCCACAUCUAGUAAUAGACAAAGCUGUAUUUUAACCUCGGUUUGCCUCUCCAUAUCUCUUUCACCUACCCCACACUGCCUACACAAUGUAUAACAGGAUAUGAAAUAUACGAACAUUUUGUAAGAAAUUCAGCCAUCCUCUGGCACAGUCGCGGCUUGUAUAGAAGCCAAAACAAAUACCAUAAUGACUUUAGAAGUUAGAUAAACAUAAGAAGACGUGUUGACAUGUCUGUGCUGAUUGUUGUUUGAGAAAUAAUUACUAAUUCAAGAGAAAAUUCAUUCCUACAUCUGCCAUAAUGAAUCUUAAAACCAUUUCAUUUCUCUUCACUCCUAACAUUUUUAACGUUGCAGAACUAAAAGUGAAGUAAAUUCUAAGGGGAAAGUGAAGGUGGCUUGUGGGAACAGAGACUUUUUCUUAAACUGAUUCCAUGUUUGUUUUAGAGGAAUUAAUUCAACAUGGGUUUUUGGUCUCAUCAAAUCCUUUGACUCCAUCUUGAAAAGUUCUGCUUUUAGUGACUUCAGAAAUUUUUACUAAUCCAGAGAAGUAAUGGAGAAAGUUGUAGGGAAGGAUACAAGGAUAAUGUGCUUUUUAUAAAAUAGUUUGUAUAGCUUUCUUACAUGUACCCCUUGUUCCAGAAAAUGUACAUUGGUUCUGAAUGUGAAAAUAAUUAAAGGUAGAAACAGUAAGUCUGUGUUUCAGUGGAAAUUAUCACAAAAUUUGGAAUGUAUUUUUAUUUAAAAUAUUUUCAGAUUUGGACUCUAAAGCCAUAUGGAAUAACUGGUAGGCUGCAACUGUUUACUGAACUUUCCAUUCUCAGUAAACCUCUCUUCAGUCAUUUAAAAUGGAAAAAUAUUUCAAUAAACUCUUUGGGUUUUUUCCAUAUUAUGAAAACAAAUACUUCAUUGUAGGUAGUUAGCUCCUACAACUUGAGAUUACAUUUUAUUUUUAUAGAACCUUUUAUAAAUUUAUGUUGAACUUAUACCACUACUUAUAUGCAGGUUAUUACAUAGCUAUUCACAGAUUGCUUUAUAUAUUACUUUAUCUUCCAAGCUAACUCCUUAAAGUUAGAAUCUGUACGCACAUGUUAGUUGAUUAUCUAGACCAGUUAUUCUAGAAAUUGUGUAAUACUCCCACAUACACCCCACGAGCUUUUUUAAGACUGGGAUGUUUCUAACUAUACCUUUUACUGUCAGUUCGCUCUUCAGAUAAAAUUGCAUUUUAACUUUUAGAUUCUGAACUAUGCAAACUUUGGCCAAAACUAUCUUGCAUGAUCUGCUUCUAAAUAUAUCCUUAAUUAAGUAAAUCUGGCAAAUCACUAUUUGAGCUUUUCUAUAAGCUCCCAAAUUAAACUAACAUAGAAUAGAGGGAAUCUCAGGGCACUCUGGUGCACCUAUUACUCUCCUUCAGUCACCUCUUAGCUUGUGUCUGUCUUACUCUGUCUCUUGGUUAUCUAACUUACAAUCUUCUGUGUCAGGAAAGUUUCCUUUGUAUCUAUUCUGCUUCCCUCCUGUUUCAUUUUAUAUCUCUUAAUCUUAUCCAGUAGUAAAAAAAGAAAGCAAUUGGUCAUCCUUUCCAACUUUGUACUCUAAUAUGCUUCAGGCUUCUUAACAUCUAAGCUUUGGUUCCUACAGCAUUUUCUCUUCAUUCCUAUUUUGAUAACUUUAUGUUUAAGAACACCUAAAAUUAUGUUUUGUUAUAUUCAAAUUCGACACUCCACUUAAGUAGUAGUUCAGUAGGGUAGAAUUGAAUAUUAAAAUGUUAUCAUUUGACAAUGGAUCCAACCAUCAGAUUGUCAGCAAAUCAGGAUUUAAUUUGUUUUAUAUUAUCUAACAUUUUAUCUUAAAUUGUGGAGUUUUACAAUUUUACAUUCUCAUUAGUUAUAAUUAAAAGGCCAUACAUACAGAAUUGUAUAUUUUGCCAUUAAAAAUUUAAACCUAUAUUACUGCAAGCUUAGCAUUGUGGUUGAACUACAGCAUUUUGUAUUUUUCUUUGUAUCAAAUAUUAAACACAGAAUGCAAGAUGAACUUUCAAAAGCAAAUCCUACACUAAUCAGGUGUUAUCUAUGAACAUUUUUGCAGGCUACUUUUGAAAUACCAUUGUUUUGCAGCAUAGACUGGACUAUAACAAAUUUCGUUUAACUUUUAAGUGACUGGUUGAAGUUGAGAGUUUGUGCAUGUACAGAAAAAUUUAGGGUUUUAUCUCAUAGUGGAUACAUUUGAAAGUAAAUACUUCAAAAGAAUUCAUGCUGUGUAUUAAAAUUUUGCCCAAAACAAAUCUAUCAUAUCUUGAAAUUUCCAAUUCCAUUAUUACAGUGAUGUUCAUAGUGUUACUAUUAAACCUUGUGACAUUCGUUUUUUUAAACUUAAUUUGUUUUAAAAAAUCAGUUUUUUAAACCUGGGUCAGAGAGAAAAAAUCUUUAGAAAUAAAUCAAAUAAUUAGGGUGUCCAGUUUAUGGUUGAAAUUUUAAGCAGUUAUUGUAUCUUAAACAACAACCUUGUUUUUAAUGUUUUAAAAGAUAACAUGGGUUUUUUCCAUUUUAUUUUUACUUUUAGAUUUCAGAAACAUGUUUUAGACUCUAUAGACAUAAUAUUACUUAAAAACUCAGGGCCCCUUUCAUCCCUUUGCACAUUGAAAAACUUCAAUUGGUAGAAAACAAGGAAUUAGAUCCAGUAGGAUAUGUAAAGUGUUGCACACACAGUUCAUUUAAUGUUUCACUUUAUGAUUUCACUUAAUUUACAUGGACAUAAUAUCAGAUUUAAUUAAUCAUAGAAAUUUGUCCAGUUCUACAGUUACUGAAUAGAGGGAAAUGACUCAGCUAAUUGGCUGCAUGUUGCAGCAUAUUUAGGCCUUAGAGUCAAAGCACCAUCUUCAAAACAUUUCUGUUCUUUGAUUAAAUGGUUUUACAUGAUUAGACAAAUUGUUUCAUUUUGUUUGUUUUUUUCUUAUUGGAGAACUUAGUAAAGUAGUUACUCUGAGAUAAAAUUUUCUCAAGAGGUAAUUAAACAUUAUAAAGCUUCUCCUAAAAGUGAAUUAAUGAUUUAUAGCUUUAGUAAUAGCUUGGAUGGCUUUGAGAAGGUAACCUAUGGUAACCUAUUUAUCACACUGUCAGAUCCAAAUAGAAUUUUUCUUUAAAUCAAACAAGUUCUAGUUCCAAAUCGGUAUACUGUAUAUUUAAAGUCCUAGCAGUGAAGUAACCAGUCUGUUGCCUCAGGCUCUCCACCUUAGUACCAGCCCUCUUAAGUACGAUAGGGAAACACAUUUUAAAAGCAACUGAACAGUAAGAAAACUAAAUUACUAAAAGAUGCAAUUGAAAGAUAAGUCCUAAUUUAACAUUGAAUUGCUUGGCUUCUGUGGCUUUUCUUUUCCUGGUCACAUUUAUUUAUUUAAACAUUUUUUGUAUACCUUGUCAUGUUUCCAUGGAGAUUAUAUUGUGUGUUUGUAUAAGCUGGAAUCAUCCUUAAUUUUCUGUUGAUAGUUUUUCAAAUGAAGAUAAAUAGAUAAUUGUAAAAUACACUAACUUAGGGUAUUGUAGUAACUGAAACAUGGAGAUGUGUAGCUGUCAUGCUUUUCUGAAUGGAAAGGAGAAACGUAAGCUACAGAGUAUUCAUUUCUGAGGAUGCUUCCCUGGAAUAAGAAAGGCUGAAAAAUAUUGGCAGUUCCUCAGAACCCUCUUCCUUGUUAACGGGUAUAUUUUGUUGGUGUGUUUUGCUCUUACAUUACAGAUAGAAUAUCAUAUAUGAAUUUAUGAAAAGUUACUUUCAGUUAUUUUGCUUUUGUACAAGCCGUCUGAGACCUUGCUAUGCUGUAUAAGUUGUGUUUGAUGGAUCAGUGUGAGUAUGAAAUAAAGCAAAUCACUUUUCUUUUGUAUUAUCUAUGGAUGCCACUAUGAAAGCUGACAUUAAGCCACUAAAGAGUUUUCUAUGAAUAACUGUAGGUAAAUGCUUUGAUAUAUAUAAACCUAAAUAAAAAUAUUGUAUUGCUACAGAGACAUUGGAGAAGGAGAUUUUAAGACAGCUCUUUAGGUUUAAAAAGGCUUGCUGUAAAAUGGUGCAUUAUUCCAUUUAUUAAAGAUCAUAUUAAUGACAA